rnacentral:rRNA from 1 species
GACGAACGCUGGCGGCGUGCCUAAUACAUGCAAGUAGAACGCUGAAGGAGGAGCUUGCUUCUCUGGAUGAGUUGCGAACGGGUGAGUAACGCGUAGGUAACCUGCCUGGUAGCGGGGGAUAACUAUUGGAAACGAUAGCUAAUACCGCAUAAUAGCAGUUGUUGCAUGACAACUGUUUGAAAGGUGCAAUUGCACCACUACCAGAUGGACCUGCGUUGUAUUAGCUAGUUGGUGGGGUAACGGCUCACCAAGGCGACGAUACAUAGCCGACCUGAGAGGGUGAUCGGCCACACUGGGACUGAGACACGGCCCAGACUCCUACGGGAGGCAGCAGUAGGGAAUCUUCGGCAAUGGACGGAAGUCUGACCGAGCAACGCCGCGUGAGUGAAGAAGGUUUUCGGAUCGUAAAGCUCUGUUGUAAGAGAAGAACGAGUGUGAGAGUGGAAAGUUCACACUGUGACGGUAUCUUACCAGAAAGGGACGGCUAACUUCGUG